rnacentral:rRNA from 1 species
AGUGAACGCUGGCGGUAGGCCUAACACAUGCAAGUCGAACGGCAGCACAGUAAGAGCUUGCUCUUACGGGUGGCGAGUGGCGGACGGGUGAGGAAUACAUCGGAAUCUACUUUUUCGUGGGGGAUAACGUAGGGAAACUUACGCUAAUACCGCAUACGACCUACGGGUGAAAGCAGGGGAUCUUCGGACCUUGCGCGAUUGAAUGAGCCGAUUUCGGAUUAGCUAGUUGGCGGGGUAAAGGCCCACCAAGGCGACGAUCCGUAGCUGGUCUGAGCGGAUGAUCAGCCACACUGGACCUGAGCCACGGUCCAAACUCCUACGGGAGGCAGCAGUGGGGAAUAUUGGACAAUGGGCGCAAGCCUGAUCCAGCCAUCCCGCGUGGGUGAAGAAGGCCUUCGAGUUGUAAAGCCCUUUUGUUGGGAAAGAAAAGCAGCAGGUUAAUACCCCGCUGUUCUGACGGUACCCAAAGAAUAAGCACCGGCUAACUUCGU